CUAUACAAUGACUGUCACAACUGCUCAACUCUGCCAUUAGGAAAAGCAGAUGAUCUUAGCUAUAUUUCAAUAAAACUUUAUUUACAAAAAUGGGCAGCAGAUCAUAUUUGGCCCUUAAGUCAUAGUUUGCCAAUCCCUGUACCUAAGGUUUGAGUCCAAUAAGGCAAAGUUCAAGCCUAUGCAUGCUCUUUCAAUACCUGUGAGAUGUUAAACAAGUAGUUUAUUAUCUCCAAGCUUCAUCUACAAUUUUUAUGAGUCUCUUAUGGACUAUCAGUUGAGUAACUACAUUGUAAAUGGUAAAGUAUUACAUAAUAUACUUACUAAAGAUGCUAACCCAGAAAUGAGUUAUGAGAGGGUGAGAUGAUUAAAAAGGACACAUAAAUGAUCAAAAAAAAAAUCCAAAGGAGUUUGGAUUUUAUAUUAGCUAAUGGUUAUUUACUAACAUGAAAACUGAAUAUGAGGAAGACUGACCUAGCAGUGAGUGAGGGGGUGAAAAAAAAUGGCCUUAAAGUGAAGAGCUAAGACAUGUUUGUUAGGGCCUAGAUACAAUACCUGUUGAAACAAUUUGAUCCAAUAUAGACUAAGAAGGUAGAGACAGUGAGUCUUUAUAACCAAUAUAUAAAGAAAAGCAAAUGGUAGGGAGGGGAAAGCAGGACGGAGAGGGAGACGAGGCAGGCGAAGAGAGAGAAAUGGGGGGGAUUUUUUUAAAAGAUUCAUUUGCAUAACAAAUUAACAAAACACGUUAUUCUGAUUCUGCCAACAGGCUAUAGCCAUUCAUACUGAAAUUUUAAAAAAUUCUUAGACUUAAACUGUACAUCACAUUUUUUGUAUCAAGGAAAUGAAACAGAAAAAAAUUGCCUAAGACUUAAGUACAUUAAUUCAAAAGCCUUAAAAGUCAAAGAAGGGAACAUCUACAGACUUCAUUAAGGAGUCUAUUUAAUAUGGCAUUAAUAUAAAAAUAAGAAAACUUGUCUCCAUCUCCUGCUAAAUUACUUGCUAGAGAUCUGGGAGGACUGGUCAGUCUUGAGAAUGCCCUAUUGAUACCUUCCCCGUUGUUUGUUCAAUUUUACAUAUUUGUGCUCUUGAACAUCAUUGAUCUAUGAUAGUAGCUCGUGGGUGAGAGAUUGCUCAAGACAAAAGGUUCACCAUUAACAUUUUUAGCUAUUUUGAAGAUUACUACAAAUUUCCCAAUGAGUCUAAAAUUGGUCUAGGAAAUUUUAUCCUAUCAAAAAGAAUUCUGUUCUGUCAAUGAUAUGAUUUGGUUUAUCAGUAAAGACAUUAGUUUGGGAUCUCAGGAAAAAAAUAUCAUAAUGUGAAGGUUUAAUAAUUUGAGAAAAUAUAUGGCGUGCUCUUUUUUCUCCUCUAUAGCCAUUGCCUAUCCUCCUUGGAGAAGUGUGGCCACCGUUUUUUUCAUGAGGUUAAUUGUCAAAUAAAACCCAAUCACAACAGAAAAUCAUUUUAUGCUUAAAAACAAUGGGUUCAGAUGUGAGGGGAACAAGUGGGAAAUAGAAGCAGAAGCAGUUUGACCCUAAGUUUCUAGUGUUGGCUCUGCUUCUUUCGUAAGACAGGAGAUCGUUAUUUUACUCCUGCUCUAUGAUAAACAUAAAGUACAGUGCUCAGCAAACUAGAUGUUCAAUAAAUGAAUAAACAAAUAUAAGACCUUGGGUAAGUCAUUUACCCUAUCUGGAACCAUUUUAAAUUUUUGAAAUAAUAUUCUUAUUUUAAUUUGAUAUGAAGAUUUACAAUGUGCUCUAUCAAUGGUAAGUGAAGAGUAGCUGUGAUGAUGAUGGUGAUAAAUAAAAAAUAGAGUUGCUAUGUCCCCAGAUUCCGCUGCCCAUUUAUUUUCUUUUACUCAAGACAUUUUUGACCCUUUCAAUAUCCAGUGGAAACAUAACUGAAAUGUAUAAAAACCUGGAAGCAAAUAUUUCUCUCUAAUUUAGAGAAAGAAUGAUCUUCCAAUCCCAUGAUAAUCCAGAGUCAACAUUCUUCUAGAUAGAGGAAAAAUGAGGGGUACAUAGACAGGAGGGUUGAAACCCAUUCUUAUGGGAAAGAAGAGGCCACUACGUUUGUUCAGAAAAGAUGAGAACAAAAUGCUAAUGCACUGAGCCAAUGGACUGGCUGAGGUGCCUGCUUUGAUGCUUGGACAUAACAACGAAGAGAGCCCCAGUUACCUGAUUCCCAGCCCAAUGCUCCAGCCCUUUGUCACUUAUUAGACACACUUCCUCUUUAAUAAAAUUCUAAUUCAAGGGUACAUGUCAGAUGGGGAUGAUUUGGAAACAUUUUAGGGACUGAAGGUUUAUCAAAGUACUGUAAUGGCCAUAGAAUGAUUAAAAGGAAUGUGUGUGUUCAAAUACAAAUGAAGAAUGAUCUGAAGGUAGGGCACAAGGAAUAGCAGAUGGUAGCUAUUAAUUAUUAGCCUAUUACCAAGGCUUCAGUCCAGUAAGAAAGAAGGUAUUCUACGUCUGACUCAUCAUCAUCUAACCAUUUUACUGCUUUGAUUUCUCAUAAGAACACUAAAAGAAGACAUUUCCUCCUUCUGUUGCUAUGUUUGAGAGAGAAAAUUGUGUGGCAAUUUAUGGAACAGUACCACAUUAAAUUCCUGAACAUAUAUGUCAGGAGCACAAUAGACACACACACACUCAAAAUGCCAAAAACACGAAUAAUGAACAGUUCUGGAGACACUAUUCUGAUAUCUCUUGUUCUUAAUUAAUGCAAUUCUAUAAGACUGCACUGGCAGAUGGGGAUCGAGACCCCCCCUCUCAGGCUUGUCUGCGUUGAGGUAGCAUAUAAUAAGCGUGUAGUCAGUUUGUGCCCUAGUCAAACGGUUUUAAUAAAACCCUACAAGCACUUCAGAUCUGAAGCUGGGGGUGUGUGGGAGGUAAUGCUAGGCAUGAGUUGAGCCCAACUUUAUGAAUGAAGUGGCUACAUGUCAUUAAUGUUUCAAUAGGUCCCCUAACAAGGGUAAUUGGAUCUCCAGGGAACCUCACCAAGCUUCCACGUUAAAUUUGCCAGUGGUGAGGAUGCUCAGGUCUUGAAGUGGGACCUGAGAAAAUAAAAGUCAAGAGCAGCCCAAAAAGAAAGAAUUGAAAACUCUGCCCUUUCAAGGAGCUCUGGCUGCAGUCCCUCAGGGUCGGCCUCUGACUGGCGGCAUGCUGCCUUAUGCUGGGAGAAAUGUCACCCAAAAGGAAGCUAUUAAGUCAAGAAGAGUGGAAAGUGAAAAGUUAAAUUUCUUAAUUGAGUGGAAUGAAUCAUGUUACUUGGGGGCACAGAAUCCAAUCAAUGAACAUCUCAUAGUUCAAGAUCUGAAAGGGUCAAACUGCUAAGCUGUCUCUUGACAAUAUCUCAUGGACCACCUUUGACAGAUGGAUAUUAGAGAGACUUCUAGAAAAUAAAAAAAAAAAAAGGAAGAGGAGAAGAAAGCAAAGAAAGGGUAAGAAGUAUAUUAGGAAAACCCUUUAACUCACUUUAAAUUCUUUGUUUUGUGGUUACUAUGGUGAAAUUUCCCAUUUCCUAUUUACAAAUGAGGAUUUUUCUGCCUUUUCUAUUACAACUCUAAAUCUCAGUUCCCUUGAUUAAUGAAUAGCUGGUUCAAUGAUUCCCUUGUAAGAUCCAGGUAUUCUGCUGUGUCUACUUUCAUUGAUAAAAUUCUCCCCUACCUCCAUCUCACCAUUUCUAGGCCUUCUCUUUUCCAAGUACCUCUCUCCUCCUCAAGUCCCAUCCAAUUCACUAACCAGCUCUACCAGCCUGGAGACCACCCACAUCCUACAAAUGGAAAAGUGCUGAGAACCUGUCAGCCACAGCUGACAGAGAGUCCGUCAGGGUAGAUUUUAAUGCUGUGAACAUUUUGCUGAUAUUUUUCCACAGAGCACUACCUGAUGUUGACAUUUUAGGUUUCAAAGUAGCAGCUAAUACUUUGCUUCUUGACUGGCACUAACUUUCAAAACAGUAACUAGAAAGCCUUGAAACUUUUAGAAAUCUCCAUUUGUUCAGUCUAUAAAAUGGGGCUAGCACCACAACUGAAUCCCCUAGAAAAACUGCAAUGCCUCCCUCACGUGGAUGAAGAGCUUUGAGAUCUUCACAGGAAAAUUCUAAAGAAGGAAUUGGAGAGUAUAGUGAUGUUUUUCUAAAUUAAAAGUGACAACCAGCAUUUAGUAGGGGAAUCAGAACACAGAAUUGAGAGCAGGAAGCCUUAUAUUCAUUACAACAGAUGGUUUAGUUUUCACUGAAGAGGAAGCAGCUGAGUUAAUGAACAGGGGUAUGUCCUUAAAAGAUUCAGCAGCCAUCCAAAUACACAGGAACAAUCUAGUGGAAACUAAAGACUUGGACUAGUCUGUAUUAUACAAAAUAAAGCAUCCCUACUGAGUUUGACUUCAGCUGGCUGAAGUCAUAAGGCAUAGUGUUCUACUAUUAAAUAACACUAAUAUAAUUACUACUGGCACAACUUUAAAAAAACAGGACUUUGUUCAAAUUCUUAACACAAAGAUAAGUCACAUAGCAAAUCUGUAAUCAAUGCCUGUUGAAAAAAAUAUUGAAUGAUUUUCAGUUCAAGGAAAGUGUUUUCACUGCUUGGCUUUUCUCUCAUCUCUUGCCCAUCUCUGCUUUUCUUUUUUUAUUUAAAAAAGAAUAAAACAUUUCAUUUGAAAUAUAAAACAUGCCACAAAGCACAGGAUGUAAUAUAACAGACCUCUGUUUUCCACCACCAAGAUUAAACAGACUUUAAUGUUUUUUAAAUAUAUGCUUGAUAUCUCCCUCUUUCAUAGACAUAAAUGUCAUAUAGCUAUAACCUCACCCCGUCAUCCUUUUCCCCUCAGUUCUUCUCAAAGGUGAAAACUUAUCUGCAGUUUUUUAAAAAUCAUUUUUGUACAUAUGUUUGUACUUUCACUACAUUAGUAUGUGUUCCAUACACUAUCAUUUCAUUUCACAAUUUUUGUACAUGGUAUUAUGCUUUGUAUAUCCUCUUGCAACUUUCUAACAUAUUAAAAUUUAUUCAUAUUUAUGUAUGUGAUUUAACAACAGAAUAACGUUUCUUUAUCCCUUUAUGUGAAUAACCUAUUCCCUUCCUAAGGGGAUAGUUCUCAGUAACUGCUAGAUUGAUCCCAAUUAAUAGGAUGGCGGGAUUUUUUGUUUUGUUUUUUACUAUUACAAACAAGGCUGAAAAUAACUUUUUUGUGUAUAUAUUCUUGAAUGCAUGUAAGAGAGUUUUUCUAGGAAUCAAAUUGCUAGAAGCUAUGGAAUUAUCAUCUUCAUUCUCAUGCAUUGCCACAUUCCUCUCUAAAAUGGUAACAAUUUACACUACCAUCAGCAAUAAAUAAGAAUUGCUGUUUCCUCACAUCAUCACUAACACUUGAUGUAAACCAACUGUUUACUUUUUGUCAGUUUAAUGGUUGUGAAGUUAUAUCUCAUUGAUGUUUUAAUUUUCUCUGACUACUAAUACUAUUGAGCGUUCUUUUAUAUUUUAUUGACUAUUUACAGUCCUAUGAAUUCCUUCUUCAUAUCAUUUGCUAAUUUGCCUUCUGACUUUAUGUCUUCUUAUUCUUGUUGGUUUUUAAGACAUAGGUUGCAAAAUGUCUUUCUGUCAGUCUUUUCAUCUUACGAUGUCUUUUUCAUGAAACUGCUUUCAUCUUAAUGGGCUUGAAUUUAUUGAUAUUUUCCUCUGUGAUUUUUGCGUUUUGUAUUCUGUUAAAGAAAUGCUUCUUCACAUAAUGCCAUAAAAGUUUUCUCUAAUAUUUUCUUUUAAAAGAUUUACAACUUUUAUUUUUAUAUUGUUAUUAUUAUUUUUUUUUUUU